UACGGAGGGGGCGAGCGUUAUUCGGAAUUACUGGGCGUAAAGCGCGUGCAGGCGGGAGAGUGUGUCUGGUGUGAAAGCCCGGGGCUUAACCCCGGAAGAGCAUUGGAAACUGUUCUUCUUGAGUUUCGGAGAGGAAGGUGGAAUUCCCGGUGUAGAGGUGAAAUUCGUAGAGAUCGGGAGGAACACCAGUGGCGAAGGCGCCCUUCUGGACGACAACUGACGAUGAGACGCGAAGGCCUGGGGAGCAAACAGG
rnacentral:rRNA from 1 species